GCGCGCGUAGGCGGUUAUUUAAGUGAGGUGUGAAAUCCCCUGGGCUCAACCUAGGAACUGCAUUUCAAACUGGAUAACUUGAGUAUGUCAGAGGGUAUUGGAAUUUCCCCGUGUAGCAGUGAAAAUGCGUAGAUAUGGGAAGGAACAUCAGUGGCGAAGGCGAAUACCUGGGAUAAUACUGACGCUGAGGUGCGAAAGCGUGGGGAGCAAACGGGGAUUAGAUACCCCUGGUAG
rnacentral:rRNA from 1 species